GCUGGGCAUAGUGGCUUGUGCCUGUAGUCCCAGCUACUUGGGAGAUUGAGGUGGGAGGAUUGCUUGAGCCUGGGAGGUCAAGGCUACAGUGAGCCAUGAUUGGGCCACUGUACUCCAGCCUGGGCAACUAAGUGAGACCCUAUCUCAA
rfam:Pan troglodytes isolate Yerkes chimp pedigree #C0471 (Clint) chromosome 16, whole genome shotgun sequence.